rnacentral:misc_RNA from 1 species
CCUGUCCGAGCGUCAUUAGACCACUCAAGCCCUGCUUGGUAUUGGGCCGUGCUAGCAAUGGCAGGCCUCAAAUCUAGUGGCGGCGCUGCACACUCCGAACGUAGUAAUAACUCCCGUUACGGACGUGUGCGGUUGACGACCAAGGAACCCCAACUCUUCGGGUUGACCUCGGAUCAGGUAGGAAUACCCGCUGAACUUAA